rnacentral:rRNA from 1 species
AGCAUAUCAAUAAGCGGAGGAAAAGAAACUAACAAGGAUUCCCCUAGUAACUGCGAGUGAAGCGGGAAAAGCUCAAAUUUAAAAUCUGGUGGUCCUCUUGUUGGCUGCCCGAGUUGUAAUCUAGAGAAGUGCUUUCCGCGCUGGACCGUGUACAAGUCUCUUGGAACGGAGCGUCGUAGAGGGUGACAAUCCCGUCUUUGACACGGACUGCCAGGGCUUAUGUGAUGCGCUCUCGAAGAGUCGAGUUGUUUGGGAAUGCAGCUCAAAAUGGGUGGUAAAUUCCAUCUAAAGCUAAAUAUGGGCGAGAGACCGAUAGCGAACAAGUACCGUGAGGGAAAGAUGAAAAGAACUUUGAAAAGAGAGUUAAACAGUACGUGAAAUUGUUGAAAGGGAAACGAUUCAAGUCAGUCGCGUUGGCCGGUAAUCAACCCUUGCGAAGGUGGGGGCUUACUUUCCGGUUGACGGGUCAGCAUCAAUUUUGAUCAGUCAGAUAAAGGUUUGGGGAACGUGGCAUCUUCGGAUGUGUUAUAGCCCCUUGUCGGAUAUGACGAUUGGGAUUGAGGAACUUGGCACGCCCGCAAAGGGUCGGGGCUUUAUAGCCCACGUAACGUGCUUCGGAUGCUGGCAUAAUGGCUUGAACCG